UGCUUCUACACUAGUUAGUAGUUUUUGUGUAAGGCUAUAAAGGGAGGGCUUGACACUGGGCAGUCGGCACUGGAGAUGAGAAAUGAAUGAUGAUUACUGAUGGGUGGGAGACAGAUAAGAAUGAUUUAAGGUGUUUAUGGAUUAGAAAUGACGUCGUGAUAAAAUCUUUAAUAGUAAGUAGAAAUGGAAUCCCAAUCCGUUGAUAUUAUUUAUACCUUGGAAAAUACAAUUAAAUGCCGUAAUUGUUCUUCUUCUUCUUCAUCGUCUAUUGCUACUCCUUUCAUCCAUCGACAAUCAUAAAUUUCAUCAUCCUCUUUUCUCUUCCCUUCCUCUUUUCACAAUUCAAAUCUAUGUAAACAAUCAAUAUAACCAAAUUGCUCGGGCCCCUAACUCCCUUCUCUAGGACACCUUACUCUCCCUUGCUUCAAGCUCAACUCUGAAUUAUUUCCUAUAAGUUACAACAAUCAUCAUACUUCAUAGGAUCAUACUGGGUCUCGUAAUAGAUUUCUAGAAUAUAUAAUUCAUCCCCUUAACAUCCAAUCACAACUGUUCAAACUUCAAUUGUGUUGUGCUCAUUUCGACCCUUCACUUGUCAUUCCCUCACUGUGCCUCCGGGAAACAACUCUGCUCUUUGUAGCAAUUAACCAUCUUCAUAUAACUGAGGGAUUUUGGAUCAUAACGAAUGGAAGUAAAAACAUCGUUUCAAGACCCUUCUGAAAUAAAACAUGAUUUUCAGUUUUUUUACUAAAUACAAGAAACCGAUUUAUCUUUUGCGUGGAGGAUUGAAUAGAAUAAGGAGGUCCUUACAUUUUGAGGAUUAAGAAGGUACAUGCCUAGAAUGGACAUUGGACAUCGUUAAUUAUGAAAUUAUAAGGAACUUCCUUCUGAAACAACGAAUCGAAAUAGAUUAUAUUAAUUCUUGUUUUUGUAAUUAUAAAUGAUAAAAAUAUACUUAAAGUCAAGAUUUUAUGCAAAA
rnacentral:lncRNA from 1 species